rnacentral:rRNA from 1 species
AUUGAACGCUGGCGGCAGGCCUAACACAUGCAAGUCGAACGAGUGGCGGACGGGUGAGUAAUGUCUGGUAAACUGCCUCAUGGAGGGGGAUAACUACUGGAAACGGUAGCUAAUACCGCAUACCCUCGGAUGUGCCCAGAUGGGAUUAGCUAGUAGGUGGGGUAACGGCUCACCUAGGCGACGAUCCCUAGCCGGUCUGAGAGGAGGACCAGCCACACUGGAACUGAGACACGGGCCAGACUCUUACGGGAGGCAGCAGUGGGGAAUAUUGCACAAUGGGCGCAAGCCUGAUGCAGCCAUGCCGCGUGUAUGAAGAAGGCCUUCGGGUUGUAAAGUACUUUCAGCGGGGAGGCGUUACCCGCAGAAGAAGCACCGGCUAACUCCGUGCCAGCAGCCGCGGUAAUUC